rnacentral:rRNA from 1 species
AGAGUUUGAUCAUGGCUCAGAACAAACGCUGGCGGCGUGUCUUAAGCAUGCAAGUUGAGCGGCAAGGAGGAGAGAUCCUCCCUAGAGCGGCGGACUGGUGAGUAACGCGUGGGUAAUCUAUCUUAGGCAUGGGGAUAGUCACUAGAAAUAGUGGGUAAUACCGAAUAAGUUCCAUAAGGGGAGGACUUAUGGAAGAAAGGUGCUACGGCACUGGCCUUAGGUGAGCUCGCGUCCCAUUAGCUAGUUGGUGAGGUAAAGGCCCACCAAGGCGAUGAUGGGUAGCCGGCCUGAGAGGGUGUACGGCCACACUGGGACUGAGAUACGGCCCAGACUCCUACGGGAGGCAGCAGCUAAGAAUAUUCCGCAAUGGACGGAAGUCUGACGGAGCGACGCCGCGUGGAUGAAGAAGGCCGAAAGGUUGUAAAGUUCUUUUGCUAGGGGAGAAUAAGUGUGGGAGGGAAUGCCUGCACGAUGACAAGGACUAGCGAAUAAGUCCCGGCCAACUACGUGCCAGCAGCCGCGGUAACACGUAGGGGGCGAGCGUUGUUCGGAAUUACUGGGCGUAAAGGGCAUGUAGGCGGCUUGGUAAGCCUGGCGUGAAAGUCUGCAGCUUAACUGUAGGGAUGCGUUGGGAACUGCUUAGCUUGAGUUACGGAGAGGGAGCUGGAAUUCCUGGUGUAGGGGUGAAAUCUGUAGAUAUCAGGAAGAACACCGAUGGCGAAGGCAAGCUUCUGGCCGACAACUGACGCUGAGGUGCGAAAGUGUGGGGAUCAAACAGGAUUAGAUACCCUGGUAGUCCACACAGUAAACGAUGUGCACGAGGUGCUGGGGCGGUAGUUUCAGUGCCGGAGCGAACGCGGUAAGUGCACCGCCUGGGGAGUAUGCUCGCAAGGGUGAAACUCAAAUGAAUUGACGG